UACAGAGGUGGCAAGCGUUGUUCGGAAUUACUGGGCGUAAAGGGCGCGUAGGCGGUUCGUUAAGUCCUGUGUGAAAUCCCCCGGCUCAACUGGGGAACUGCACAGGAAACUAGCGGGCUUGAGUUCGGGAGAGGGAAGCGGAAUUCCGGGUGUAGCGGUGAAAUGCGUAGAUAUCCAUAGGAACUCCGGUGGCGAAAGCGGUGUGCUGGAUCCUUUCUGACGCUGAGGCGCGAAAGCCAGGGGAGCAAACGGG
rnacentral:rRNA from 1 species